GAGUGUUCCACAGGGCGGGGUCCACGGCAGAGAAGGCUCUCUUCCUGGGCCCCGCCAACUGACAGUCUCUCGUGGACAGGGUCCGUAGCAUGCCCUUUCUGCCUGACUGGGUGGGACGUGUCAAUGUAACGGGGGUGAGACGGUCCCUCGGGUAAUGUGGACCCAUGCCAUGUAGGGCUUUAAAGGUGAUGACCAACGCCUUGAAUUGGACCCGGAAGCAAACUGGCACCCAAUGCAGCUCCCGCAGCAAAGGUGUUACAUGUGCCAUCCUUGGGGCACCCAAGACUGCUCGCGCGGCCACAUUCUAGAGGGAGAGAGAAGGAGAGAGAGAGAGAGUUGAGUUGGCAGCCACAACCAUGCCAGUAAAACCCCAUCCCUGUUUUGCAUCUGUUGCAAUGGGUAUUAAAAAGUGGCAAGAAUUCAGUUGUAUGGAUGCAGCCACCAUCUUGACUUUUUUACGCCCUCUGAAGAUGCUCCUGUCUUGAGAAUUCUGCUUUCUUUCAGCUAGCAUAUUCUUCUUGUGGUUGUUUUGUUUUAAGGACUUGGGGCAAGUGGAAAAAAAAAAGGAAGUAACAGAAAACUGUUAUUACAGCCUUUCUGAAUCACGGCAAGCAAGCAAAACUGAAGUGAAGCACUGUUAAACACGAUAAAAUGCCAGUACUCUUGAUUUGCUAAUGAAUGGUGCAUGUGUUGCAGGUACAAGCAACUGAUUGGAGGACAGUCCUGGAAAAGUGUAUUUUUGAAACACAGCCGAGCUGCUGCCUUACAGAGGCUAUUGACCCAGGCUUGUAAAUCAUACUUGUACGGUUAUUUCUUUCCCUGAUUAGAUUUUAAAAAGUCACCAAUGCAAAUAUAUCAACAAGGAGGUUUCCUACUGUGCUGAUUUCUUUUCCAUAGUAAAUGAAAUGUCUUUAGAAAAAUGAGAAUUGUAUUUUCCCAUGUAAACUUCUGAAAUGCCAGAGAUGAGGUAAAUUCCCUUAAAAGGACAUCUUCACUAAAACAUUUAUUUUCCCCCUAAAGGGUUGCCUUACCACAGUGAUCCUAUUAUGCCCUAUGCCUUUUUCUUUCUAUUGCAGAUAGAACAUUUGAAGAAGAAAAAAAAAACCAUUGCAGGUCUAUGAAUAAUUGCAGGUUUGAACAGCAUUCUCCUGAGCAAAAGGAUUAAGCCCAGCUAGAUGGCACUACCAAACCAGCUUUGACAGAUUUUGCAAGGCUAAGUAUGGCUAGACCUGGCUAAUCUUUGGAUGGAAAGGAGAAAGUUUAAGGGGACUGGCUAGACGUGGGAACUGAACAAGGCAAGGGAAGCAAGCAGGGCUGGAUCGGCUCCUGAAAUUCAUUCCAAUCCUUUUACCAGCAGAGGCCACAGAAGGUCUGUAUUUUCUUCUGUGUAAUUCAGUAACAUGCUGUGUCCGUCUUUCUGCUGUACCCUUGUGUUGAGUCUGUAACCCUACGUGUGACCAGGAGGGAGAAGGGAGAGCAAUUAAUAGCAUUCCAAGCUGCUGCCCAACUGCCACUGCCAUCAGGAUGGAUACGUUGGGGAAUUGUUUUCUGGAUUUUUUUUCUCUGCAAACUGCCUAUGUCUCUGAUCCAGCCUAUUUUUGAACUUGGUCUUUGUUUUUCCAGCUUCUCUCCCCACACUGCCUUUGGUUCUCUUCUGGUUUGGUUUUGGAGAGUUAUCCUGUGGAUGUCCAGCUGUCUGUAUGUCUAUCCAUCUUGAGCCUCUGCCCAUCAUUUCUGUUCCAUAUUCUGAUCAAAUGAGGCAGCCGGGCCCUGGAGAAGAAAGGAAGUGCUAUGCUGCUUAGACCACACAAUGUGGAAAUGCAGAGUUUUGGAAGAAACAUCAUUAAAAAAAUAAACUCAUAAUUCAAGUGGGUUAAGGCCAGUGAUGGACAUCAUUACUACUGAGACUCUGCUUACCUGUGAUUCUAACAUAUUACACAUCCCAUAUAACAAAUACAGGGGCAAUGGAUGUUCUUAGGAGACAUACUAACUUUCUGCAAUAUGGUGCGUCUGUGUCUGUGUGUGUCUGCGUUUGUGUGGAAUCAUAGUUGGCAGAUAAUGUUUUGCAAGCGUCUGUAACUUAUUAAAAAUUAAAUUUUCUGCCCAGGUUACAAAGAGUACAGUGGAACAUACUGCAAUGCUGCAUGCACAGAGAGCGUUUCUGUUUUGAUUUCAUAUGAAACUAAUUGAAAACACUUUAUCAGCAUUCAUCAGCAAUAAAAUGGCAAUGUUCUUUGUAUCCUA